GUCCGGGUACUUAGCCGAAUGGUUAAGCGAUCAGCCUUUCAAGCAGACGAUCAGGGAUCGAAUCCCGCCCGGUCA
rnacentral:tRNA from 1 species